GAUGAACGCUAGCGGCAGGCUUAACACAUGCAAGUCGAGGGGUAGUAUAGCAAUAUAUGAGACCGGCGCACGGGUGCGUAACGCGUAUGCAAUCUGCCUUUUACAGAGGGAUAGCCCAGAGAAAUUUGGAUUAAUACCUCAUAGUAUAUUGAUGUGGCAUCACAUUAUUAUUAAAGAUUUAUCGGUAAAAGAUGAGCAUGCGUCCCAUUAGCUAGUUGGUAAGGUAACGGCUUACCAAGGCGACGAUGGGUAGGGGUCCUGAGAGGGAGAU
rnacentral:rRNA from 1 species